rnacentral:lncRNA from 1 species
AAUGUCAUUGGUUACAUGCAAAAGAUUAUUUCAAAAGCUGUCAGGAAAAGUUGAGAGAUUAGAGUUCUUUUUAGUCUUUCAGAAUUACAAGAACUAUAGUUCUCAACAGUGCUGUCUCUCAAGGAAGUUUGCUUAUGUGGAAAGAGGUGUUGUUAGCAAAGGUUUUUCCAGUUAAUAAGUGUGUAUCUGUCAUAUGCAGGAUUCUAAGAAUGACCCCUCCCAUGACUUUGUAUAAUAUCCUCCUCCCCUUCUGAGUAUAGCGACAACUGUGACCAUGUCAUGUCUUGUUACUUAACAAAAGGGAGAUUACCUGUCAGUGGCUGAUCCAAUGUUGAGAGUCAUGUCAGGCUGGUACAAGUGAGAGACAGCAGCAGUAGAACUCUGAACAGCAUUGCUGGGCCUGCCUUAAGGAGCCAGAGGCUUUGUUACCCACUGAGUGGGAGCUGCAGACCUUUUGCCACAGGACCAUUUGACCCAGACACUUAACCGGUUUGGACAUGGAAAUGCUUGGGCGAGCAGUCAGCUGGGUAAACCUUCCCUGCAGCUUUGUAAGCGGGGCCCUACCUAGGCUUCUGAUGUGCAGCAGUGGGUAAGAAAUUGGCAGUGCUGUACGUGGCUAGGUUUGUGUUUUGUAAAAAGUAACAAUCUCAGUCCUGAGAAGGCUUCAUAUGUGAUUGCCUGCAGUGACUGGUUUUUAAGACAAGGUCUCAUCUUGCACCCCAGGCUGGUUCUCCCAGUUCUGCCCCUCAAGUGUCGAUGUGCAUCACCAUGCCCAGUUGACUGAUGGCUUUUGACAUAAGAAUAAACUUGUUCCUAGCAAGCCCUAUUCCUGGCUCUCUGCUAGGAUGCUUGGUGCCAGGACCCGUCUCCACUACUAGCCAGACUUGCGUUAUUUUUUGUUGUGUAAAACUGGCAGGAUGAAGCUGAAGGUGUGGGCUGUAGGCAUCUUCUCCUAGAUACUCCUAAAUUGUACUGACUUAAAGGCCUGCCGGAAGUAGGGGGAAGAAUGAGGAACAGUAUUUUAGAUCAGAUCAACAAGAAGAAAAAUUCCCACCGUCAUGUCGAUUUGCUGGUGUGUCCAACCUUCUGACAGUGCAGUGGGACACUGUUCUCUACAGAGUCCAGGCUCAAGAACCUCACGGUCCAGUUACAAAAACAACGAAACUGUUAAAAAGCUUUGAGUAAGUUUACAAUUUUGUAUUGUGCCAUUCAUUGCUGUCCUGGGCCACAGGCUGAACAUACCUGCAAGAGCUUCAGCUACGACAGCUGUAAUUUUUAAAAGAUCACUUAGCUGAGUAGCUCACGGGUCAAACCCUGUAUGUUCCAAGGUUUUGUAUUUACAUGUUUCCCAAAAUACCAUGCUUAUUGUUGCUAUUAUUCAACCAUGCUGCUGUAGCCUUGAGGGAAAUAAACAGAACUGAAGGAAAGGAACCCAGAGGUUAAACACUGUCGUCAUCUUCGCAUGGUGAGGGAUCGAGUCCCAGUUCAAGACUUCAGGGAAGGGCAUUCCCAAGCCACGUAGCAACAUUUACGGCUUGUAAAACUUAAACUGUGAUAGUUGUGAGGACUUAAAUGAUUAAUAUUAACAUAGAUGCUAUGCUAAUUAAUAUGCUAAAUUUAAUGCAUGUGAACAUAUGAUGCUACAAAGAUGACCACAGUCUUUACAAAGAGCAAAAGAAUAAAACCAACCAACCCACCCAAGGGUUUUGUUACUCGUGCCCCUGUACUCUAUCACUAGCUAAACAGACCUUUGUUGUUUCUGAAAUGCUCCCUUUUCCAGUUUCUGCACUACCUAAGGAUGCAAGUGUGAGAGCAGACAGGCAGCAGGUGGCCCUGUGUGAGCAGGGGCCGGAGAAGGACUGGAAGUGUCCGUGCAGGCACACAGGCGGCCACUGCGAGUGCAGCGGGAACCCCUGGACUGCAGAGGGAUUCUUGCUGCUCUCAACACAUGUGUUGUGGGAACAGCUAGGUACUUGUGAUACUAAGGAGGCUGCUUCUUGAAGCUGCUCUGCUGCUGAGUUAGCAAUUAUCCCAAAAUACAGAGUGGGGUCCUUUAGCUUGCGUAGCAUUCCACCCUUUAUUGGAAAUGCUCCAGCGCUGUGUAAGAGGACCUGAAGCGCAUUCUCUUGAGCCUUACAAAGAGCUGCUGGGACAGUACUGUCCAGUCCACUAAGCUCACACCUCUUUCCCCCAGUGGAGUCAAAGACGCUCAGUUGGUGCACGUCCUCCACAAGGCUGUCUUCACACUGGGGGACGUUCUGGAGUCUUGCUAGGUUGUACCAGGUCCUCUUUUCCUCUGCUCACAAUGUCUUUAUGGGUUGAACAUUAACUGCAGUAAUAUUUGAGGUACCUGUUGAAUUUUUAAAGGCAGAUUAUUUAUUUUUAAGUUUGCUGCUAUAAUCGAAACCUAAUAAUGUCCUGUUGACUGUGCCUUUCAUAACUGUCUCUGUGCUACAACUGUCCAUGUGUAUUUGAAAUAAAGAUGUUUGAAAAGCUAUGUUGAAUCAAGAUUCCUUCUAAUAAAAAUGGCUUAAACC